GGGUUUGUAUAUACAAAAAGGCGUUUCUUAUGCUGGCCGGCGAUGCCGACGCCGGUGAGCGCUGCGAGGCAAUGCUUGACGGAGGAGGCGGCGAGAGCUUUAGACGACGCCGUUUCCGUCGCCCGCCGCCGCUGCCACGCUCAAACUACUUCCCUUCACGCUGUCUCUGCUUUACUGUCUUUACCUUCUUCUGCCCUUCGCGACGCCUGUUCACGCGCCCGCAGCUGCGCGUACCU
rnacentral:misc_RNA from 1 species